UUUUUUUUUUUUUUUUUUUUUUUUUAAUGGGCAGGCUUUCUUCUUCAGCUUUAUCCCACUCCACCUUCUUGCCCCCCAAAAGCACGCAGCUUCGAUCUGUCUGCUUUGUUCUGCCUGUGAGUUUUACCUUGGGAAUGCCAUCCUGGUGUUGGGUGUGAGGGAAGUGGGGCUGCAGGCGUGCCAUUCCUAGAGCUGGCUUGGAGUUGACACUCAGUUUUCGAGCAGAACAGACGUGUAACCUAUUUCUACACCUUACCUGCCUAGUUAUGUGUGGAUUGACUACUGACAGUGUACUGGGAGUUUUCACGGCCUCCAUAGGAUGGAUGGCGCUUUGUCAAUAGGUUGCAGGGUAGGCUCUUUAUCAUAAGUAUCUCAGCUCAGGUUAACAUGCGUAUUAUCAGGAUCUACAGAUUUCUCUUCCUAUAGAAAUGUAUCGGACUUCAGAUGUAUUGAGAUGUGUCCUUUUGUGCUUGGUUGACGCUAUGACCCUGCAGCCUGCUGGUAAGCAAGAGCGGACAUUGAGCAGAAUUUGAGUGCCUGAAGGAAAGUUCUUUAUUUAAACCCCCACUGGGCUGCAUCUGUUUCUGAGUCUGUUCUCUAACCUUGGGAAUCAACAGAAAAGCAUCUUUAUUUUGAAUGUUUCAGUCUUCCUCGGCCGUGGAUCAGCACUCCCACAUUCUCUUUAACUCCAAGAGUCAUUUAACAGCAAUAUUUAUGGAGAAAUUGAUUGCAUUUAAUGAAAUGGAAUGAGCAGCAGUCUUCCUGGUUCUAAGUACGUGCUUUUGGCCAACAGUAAGUCAUCAGAAUGAGGUCUCGUUUUGGUUAGGGGUGUGUGUUCUUCACGGACGCCUGUCUUCAUGGACAAAAUGAUUAACAUAACCCUAAGCAUUCAAGACACUGGAGGUUUGAAGGUCAGGAAAAUUGAGACCAAAGUGGGUUUUAUGAAUUGUUUCUGUGGUAGUUGGUGGGUAUCACCCAAAUAACAGAGAACCAGUCUAUCCAAGUGGCAUUUCAUGAAUUUAAUUUAGUUGCGAACAGAGAGGCCAGUUCGUAAUGCCAAUACUGCUUGGACCCCGUCCUGCCCCCACCCCUCCAUUUAUUGAGCCUCCCCUGUUCAAGGUAUGCCCACCUCACAGCCUUUCUAUUGUCGUUCCCCUGUGUCCAGGCCUCUUUUCCUGGUCCUGCCCUUUGACCUCAUCCUUUGGGUCUCAGACUGCCCCCUUCCUCAGGGAAACCUUUGAUGAAUCAGAGUGGAUCAUGUUCUUCCUGCAAUUUUACAUGAUUUUUUUUUUUCUUCGUGGCACGUGCCGCACUUUUACUCAAUAGUCAUUUGUCUUAUUUAUUUAAUGUCUGUUUCUCCUGCUACCCUGCGAGCGAAGGCACGUCUCUGUUCUUUAAUAGAUUCUCAGGGCCUUUGUGCAGAGCCUGGCACAAAGUAGGUACUCGUAUUUGUUGAACCAUGAAAAGAAAGAGUUGGAAGCCCGUGGUGGAGAUGUUGGCCUCUCAGGUUGUAGGUGGCAGAGUCUGAGAUGGCCCUCAGUGACCCCNCCCCCCCCCCCCCCCGCCUCCUGGUGUUCAAGCCUUCAUGUGAGCCCCUCCUCUUGAUGGCGGGCUAGUGACUCACUUCUAAAAGAUGAUGGCAAACAUGGAGGAUGUCACUUCUGAAACUAGGUUACAGAGAGAAUGUGGCUUCUGUGUUAUGUGCCCUCUCUUUGCUCAGCUUGCUUGCACUGCUGGAAGCCAGAUACCAUGUUGCAAGCUGCCCAGUGAGAGGCCUAGGCCACCUAGCAAGGUACUGAGGGGGCUUCUGGUUGCCAGGCAACUAAGGCCCUCAGCCUCUAGGCCUGGGAGGACCUGGAUGCUGCCAGCAACCAUGUGUGUGAACUUUGAGGCCCAUCCUCCCUCCGUUGAGCCUUCAGAUGAGACCCUGGCCAGUGACUUGACUACAGCCUGUGAGAUGCCUGGAGGCAGAGACACUGAGCUCAACUGUGCUGAGAGACCUGACUCACAGAGAUGGAGAUAAUACAUGCUUGGUGUUUUAACCACUAAGUUUUGGGGGUAAUUUGUUUUACAGUCAUAGAUCAUGAAGACACAGAUGAGGAGUUCCCGUCAUGGUGCAGUGGUUAACGAAUCCGACUAGGAACCAUGAGGUUGCGGGUUCGGUCCCUGUCCUUGCUCAGUGGGUUAAGGAUCCGGCGUUGCCGUGAGCUGUGGUGUAGGUUGCAGACGCAGCUCGGAUCCAGUGUUGCUGUGGCUCUGGCGUAGGCUGGUGGCUACAGCUCUGAUUCGACCCCUAGCCUGGGAACCUCCAUAUGCCGCGGGAGCGGCCCAAGAAA
rnacentral:lncRNA from 1 species